rnacentral:misc_RNA from 1 species
GAUUGCAAUGUUUGAUAAGAAUGGAGGGCUUCAGGCUCUGAUACAAUAUCCAGAUAUGCGCACAGCUGCUGUUGCGAAGGAAGCUUUGGAAGGACAUUCCAUAUAUCAAGGUGGAUAUUGCAUGCUUCAUAUCUCUUACUCUCGACACACAGAUCUUAGUAUAAAGAUUAAUAAUGAUCGCGGCAGGGAUUACACAAUCCCAAAUACUCCGAUGAUGAAUUCUCAACCUUCAAUCAUGGGGCAACAGCCGCCUCAGAUGGGAGGUCCAGGCGUUCAUCCCUAUGGUGCCCCUGCCCAGUGCACGCCAGUUCCAGGUGUUGCUCCGCCUCAGCAUUCUGCAGGGUGGAACUCGGCCCCCGCCACUGCAACUCCAUCAAUGCCGAUGCAGAUGCAUAACCACCCUUACAUGCCAACUGCUAGUAUGCCCUCUCAAAUGGGUCCUGGGAUGAUGCCAAUGCAUGGACAGAACGUCAUGCCACAUUCUACUCCAAUGCCUCCUUAUCAUCCACAAUAUCACUAGUGCGAAACAAGUUUUGCCUACUAGAGUCCUCAAUAUUGUUGCAGAGAUGUGUUAACCAAAGAUGUCACUAGUCUUUUGGUCCUAACUUGCAUAUCUUGCUUCUUUUUUUGUCUGUAUUUUCUGUCAUGUUCUCUUUUUUCUCCCUUUUGAGGUCAAUGGAUGGUUUCAUACCUGCUUUUAGG